GUGUGUUGUGGUUGUCAGCGCUGGUUUGAGCCUUGAGAAAGGUUAUGGAGCUUCAAUGAUUGGUUGUUCAACAGCCAACUGAGCUGAAGGAGUGUUAUGAAUAACAACCAAUCUAAUACUUGAGAUGGAAGACUCUCACUUCAGACGGGCAUUCCCAAAGGCGUACAUGUCGCAAACUCGAUUUUCAAGCUUUGAAUAACUCAAAAGGAGUUCUUAAGACAGCCUUGGUCGAAACUCGGUUCAAUAUGUACACUGCUCUCUUAAGAGCUUCAGUCCACGAGGACUUCGGAAGUUUGGAGUUGCUAAGCAUGCUCCGAACCAUGUCGAAUAAAGUUCGGUUUCCUCUUUUUUCUACACCAUUUUGGUCCAGAGAACCAGGCAUGGUAU